AUUGAACGCUGGCGGCAUGCCUUACACAUGCAAGUCGAACGGUAACAGGUCUUCGGAUGCUGACGAGUGGCGAACGGGUGAGCAAUACAUCGGAACGUGCCCGAUCGUGGGGGAUAACGAAGCGAAAGCUUUGCUAAUACCGCAUAAGAUCUACGGAUGAAAGCAGGGGACCGCAAGGCCUUGCGCGAACGGAGCGGCCGAUGGCAGAUUAGGUAGUUGGUGGGAUAAAAGCUUACCAAGCCGACGAUCUGUAGCUGGUCUGAGAGGACGACCAGCCACACUGGGACUGAGACACGGCCCAGACUCCUACGGGAGGCAGCAGUGGGGAAUUUUGGACAAUGGGCGAAAGCCUGAUCCAGCCAUGCCGCGUGCAGGAUGAAGGCCUUCGGGUUGUAAACUGCUUUUGUACGGAACGAAAAGACUCUGGUUAAUACCUGGGGUCCAUGACGGUACCGUAAGAAUAAGCACCGGCUAACUACGUG
rnacentral:rRNA from 1 species